AACUAACGCUGGCGGCGUGCCUAACACAUGCAAGUCGUACGAGAAAGCCGGCUUCGGCUGGUGAGUAAAGUGGCGCACGGGUGAGUAACGCGUGGAUAAUCUGCCCUUAAGUGUGGAAUAACGUACCGAAAGGUGCGCUAAUACCGCAUAAUGCCUGGCAACACAAGUUGUCCGGCCAAAGAAGGCCUCUGUUUACAAGCUUUCGCUUCAGGAUGAGUCCGCGUACCAUUAGCUUGUUGGUGGGUAAUGGCCUACCAAGGCUGCGAUGGUUAGCUGGUCUGAGAGGAUGAUCAGCCACACUGGAACUGAGACACGGUCCAGACUCCUACGGGAGGCAGCAGUGAGGAAUAUUGCGCAAUGGGGGCAACCCUGACGCAGCAACGCCGCGUGAGUGAGGAAGGUUUUCGGACUGUAAAGCUCUGUCGAGCGGGAAGAAGUGUACCAUGGCUAAUAUCCAUAGAUUAUUGACCGGUACCGCGUAGAGGAGCCG
rnacentral:rRNA from 1 species